rnacentral:rRNA from 1 species
UGUGUAGGCGGUUCUCUAAGUUUGGUGUGAAAUCUCCCGGCUCAACCGGGAGGGUGCGCCGAAAACUGGAGGGCUAGAGUGCGGGAAGGGAGAGUGGAAUUCCUGGUGUAGCGGUGAAAUGCGUAGAUAUCAGGAGGAACACCGGUGGUGUAGACGGCUCUCUGGACCGUAACUGACGCUGAGACACGAAAGCGUGGGUAGCAAACA